UAACUCAUAUAAAGUUCUAGGUAUAAAAGGAAUGAUGACUAAUUUAUGUCUAUAAGUAUUGACCAAAUUACGUGCCAGCCGUCGCGGUAAUACGUAAAAUACAAGUGUUAUUCAUCUUUAAUGGGUUUAAAGGGUACCUAGACGGAAAAUCAAGCCAUAAAAGGGACUAAUUUUCUAGAGUUUUAUAAGAGAAAAAAUAAUUGUUAGAGGAGAGAUGAAAUUCUUUGAUACUAAUAAGACUGGGAACAGCGAAGGCGUUUUUCUAUGUAAAAACUGACGUUGAGGGACGAAGCCUAGGGUAACGAUAAGGAUGUGCGACCUGAAGUCCAAAUAAAAAUUGUAUAACUUCAAUGAUUAUACAUUGUAUUUCAUCUUACAAUAGUCUAUUUAGAUAUGCAUUUUGGGUAACUAUUUUGUAUAAAGCUCUAGAGAAAAGAUUAUAAUAAUCCUGGCUUUCUUCUAUGGUUAGAGAAAUUGAAUCAAUGUAAUUAAAACUUUUUUUUUAUUUGGCAUUUAGCGUGUCCUUGGUUAAAUGAAGAUGAACNUAAAAAUAGAAAAGUAAAGUUGAAACCUAAGGANNNNNNUUAUUUAUGGACAAGAAAACGAGAUUUUGGUAAAGAAAAGAAAACGACGUAUCAAUUAGUUAUCUCAAGUAAAAAAGAUAUUAAAAAUUUGAUUGCAUUUUUAGACAAUAAAGAUAAUAUACCUUUACAAGGUAAUAAAUAUACACAAUAUUUAGAAUGAAAAAAUUAUGAUAAUAGUAUAUAGACGUAUAUAACGUUUGAGCCGUAUGCGAUGAAAAUUGCACGUACGGUUCUAAGAGGGGGAAAGCCUGCAAGGGCCUACCUAUCUCGACUAGAUACCCUAAUAGUCCUAGGAGAAAAUUAUGAAUGCCAUAGGCUAGAUUAUUUUUGGCCUAUAAAUGAAAGUGUAAGCAUUUCACCUUACAAGUAAAGCGGCAACGCCGAAACUGAAAUCAUUAGACCGUUACUGAAAACAGUAGUGAAGUAUGUUAUAUAAUUCGAUGGUCCGCGAAUAACCUUACCACAUUUUGAAUAUUAUUAAAUUAUUACAAGUGCUGCACGGCUGUCUUCAGCUUAUGUCGUGAGAUUAUGGUUAGAUCCAUUAAUAAGCGAAAACCCUUACUUUAAUUAAGAGUAAUAAAAAAAGAUUAAUCUAUAUUAUUAGUUAAUAGAGUUGUUCAC
rnacentral:rRNA from 1 species